AAGAAAACAAGGGAGAGCAGUGGAAUUUGUGGGAUACUUGUCACAAAGAAUAUUGAAUGGUUUUACCCCCAGCUCAUUUUUAGUCAGUAACAUCUGAAGACCAGCUUCCUUGUCUCAAAGUGGCAGGAGAGUUGUUAUUAUAAAUCAUAUUCAUUACCUUAGUGCCUAAGACCCAUUGUGCUAGGCAAAGUACAAACACAGAAGAGUAGAUGGCCCAUGCCCUGAAGAAUUUACAAUCUAAAUAGACAAGACAGACACAGAAUGGGGGAAGGGGUAAAACCCACUGUUAGAAUAUAGAUAUUCAGGCCUGCCUGUAAAGCCUAUACUUUACGAACUUAGGUGUAUUUUUAAUCACUUAGCUAGUUACAGGGAUAUAAAAACAAAGAAUCAAAAUCACAGUCUGCCUGUGUAUGGGCCUUUUCUCACUAGGAUAGUCUGAGGCCUUGUUCGUAGGCUAAGCAGCAGGGGCAGCCAUAAGCACACAUCCCAAACCAGUCACACUGAAAUAAGGUGGUAUUGGGUUGUUAGAAAGAUGAUCCUGUCCUGAUAGUGCCCAUCACCACCAGAUAAAGAAACAGAUCUUAAGAUGGUUAAAGAAAACUUAGUUUGAUAGCACUCUGUCUAGCAAGAAAUCACUUCUCAAUGGUUGUGGUUUUGAAACUCUCAUUUCUGUAUUGUUUUAUCUUUAUGGCCACCAUUUUUUCUAUUGUUAAUCUGUCUAGUUCUCUAUUUUUUUCUGUCUGCUGUAUAAUUAAUUUUUCUAGAUGUAAGUUAAUUAGGGUAGUGGGAUAUAAUUGGUUAGAGAAUUAUGUUACAAUAUGUUAGGAUUGGUUAGUUUAAAUUUCAGUUAAGGUAUAGCUGAGAAUAUUACUAUAUAAAAUAGAGGGGGAAGAGAAAUUGGAAUCAUGUUUUUUAAGGGGGGGGGGGGGAACAGGAACAGGGAACGGGGAACAAGGCUCUGGAGCAUCAGAGCUGGGAAGGGAACGCUGGGGAACAGACUCUAUCGGAGUAUAGAUAUAAGCCCGAAUGGUGUGAAGGUCUUUGGAGUAUGCUUGCUUGGAAACUAACCUCAAUAAACAUUGCAUUAUCUGCACUUCAGACUUCUGGUCUUUUGCUACUUGCUGUCUGCGUGACAAGAACCAGGGAAGCAGGAGGCCCUCUAACAAAACUGACAUGACCUGAUAACUAAGAGGUCCCCGAGACAGUGUAAACUGAAGCAGGGCCUCCCUUCUGAUGGGCUCCCUUGUCCCUCGAUCUUUGUUUCCAAUUGUGCCCAUAACUUUCUUUCAGGUACAACAAUGAAGAAGCCAGACAGCGCUGAUGGCUCAUCAACAAAGACAAUGGACCAUGCAAGAGCUUAG